UACGUAGGGUGCGAGCGUUAAUCGGAAUUACUGGGCGUAAAGCGUGCGCAGGCGGUUCGCUGUGUCCGAUGUGAAAGCCCCGGGCUUAACCUGGGAAUGGCAUUGGAAACUGGCGGGCUUGAGUGCGGCAGAGGGGGGUGGAAUUCCGCGUGUAGCAGUGAAAUGCGUAGAUAUGCGGAGGAACACCAAUGGCGAAGGCAAUCUCCUGGACCUGCACUGACGCUCAUGCACGAAAGCGUGGGGAGCAAACAGG
rnacentral:rRNA from 1 species